rnacentral:rRNA from 1 species
UACGUAGGGGGCAAGCGUUGUCCGGAUUCAUUGGGCGUAAAGAGCGUGUAGGCGGCCAGGUAGGUCGGUUGUGAAAACUGGAGGCUCAACCUUCAGACGUCGACCGAAACCAUCUGGCUAGAGUCCGGGAGAGGAUAGUGGAAUUCCUGGUGUAGCGGUGAAAUGCGCAGAUAUCAGGAAGAACACCCGUGGCGAAAGCGGCUCUCUGGAACGGUACUGACGCUGAGACGCGAAAGCGUGGGGAGCGAACAGG